rnacentral:rRNA from 1 species
CAGCCGCCGCGGUAAUACGAAGGGGGCUAGCGUUGUUCGGAUUUACUGGGCGUAAAGCGCACGUAGGCGGAUAUUUAAGUCAGGGGUGAAAUCCUGGAGCUCAACUCCAGAACUGCCUUUGAUACUGGGUAUCUAGAGUCCGGAAGAGGUGAGUGGAACUCCUAGUGUAGAGGUGGAAUUCGUAGAUAUUAGGAAGAACACCAGUGGCGAAGGCGGCUUACUGGCUCAUUCUAGACGCUGAGGUGCGAAAGCGUGGGGAGCAAACAGGAUUAGAUACCCCGGUAGUCCCUGUCUCUUAUAA